UGCAGUCGAGCGAGAACCUGUCCUUCGGGACAGGGGACAGCGGCGAACGGGUGAGUAACACGUGGGUAAUCAACCCCUGGCUCCGGGAUAGCCCGAGGAAACUCGGAUUAAUACCGGAUGGCCCAACUGCGUCCUUCGGGGCGGUUGGAAAAGGUAGCUUCGGCCUCCGGCCAGGGACGAGCCCGCGGCGGAUUAGCUUGUUGGUGGGGUAAUGGCCUACCAAGGCGACGAUCCGUAGCUGGUCUGAGAGGACGAUCAGCCACACUGGGACUGAGACACGGCCCAGACUCCUACGGGAGGCAGCAGUGGGGAAUCUUGCACAAUGGGCGGAAGCCUGAUGCAGCGACGCCGCGUGAGGGAAGAAGGCUUUCGGGUUGUAAACCUCUUUCAGGAGGGACGAAGCUCCUCGGGUUAAUAGCCCAGAGGGUGACGGUACCUCCAGAAGAAGCCCCGGCUAACUACGUGCCAGCAGCCGCGGUAAUACGUAGGGGGCAAGCGUUGUCCGGAUUUAUUGGGCGUAAAGAGCGUGUAGGCGGCCAGAUAGGUCCGUUGUGAAAACUCGAGGCUCAACCUCGAGACGCCGAUGGAAACCAUUUGGCUAGAGUCCGGAAGAGGAGAGUGGAAUUCCUGGUGUAGCGGUGAAAUGCGCAGAUAUCAGGAAGAACACCCGUGGCUAAGGCGGCUCUCUAGUACGGUACUGACGCUGAGACGCGAAAGCGUGGGGAGCGAACAGGAUUAGAUACCCUGGUAGUCCACGCCGUAAACGAUGGGUGCUAGUGUGGGGGGUGUCGACUCCCUCCGUGCCGAAGCUAACGCAUUAAGCACCC
rnacentral:rRNA from 1 species